ensembl:lncRNA
AGUUUAUUUGAGGGUUCUGGAACUGAUCCUGGGGAGGGAAAUGGAUCUGGAACUUGGUGCUGUUCAGAUUUAUUUGAGGGUUCUGGAACUGAUCCUGGGGAGGGAAAUGGAUCUGGAACUUGGGUCUGUUCAGAUUUAUUUGAGGGUUCUGGAACUGAUCCUGGGGAGCCAGAUCUGUACACACUUCACCUGCUGCGUGUGAUCUGGUGCACUUUCAAUGUUCCCGUUCUAGCAAAGCUCUUUCCACAUUCUCCACAGAUGUAUGGCUUCUCUCCUGUGUGUGUCGCAUGUGAUCUUUCAGGUGUUGUGAAUGAGCAAAUUUCUCUACACCGAUCGCAGAUAUGAGGUUUCCUCCAGUGGUGCAUCGCAGGUGUGCUUUGAGUUGUUGCGAAUGAGCGAAUCUCAUCUCACACUGAUCACAGACAAACGGCUUCUCUCCAGUGUGUGUUCUCAUGUGUGAUUUCAGGUGUUGUGGUUGAGUGAAUUUCCUCUCACACUGAUCACAGCUAAAUGGCUUCUCUCUGUGUGCGUUCGCAGGUGUUCUUUCAGGUGUUGUGAAUGACCAAAUUCUUCCCACAUUGAUCACAGCCGUAAGGUUUCUCUCCAGUGUGCAUUCUCUGGUGAACUUUCAACCUGCCUGAUUCCCGGAAGCCUCUUCCCACACCGUCACAGCAGUACGGUUUCUCCCCUGUAUGAGUCAGCUUAUGUUUAAUCAGGGUCCUGACAGAGCAAAACUUUCCCACAUAGAUCACAGCUUAAGGCUUCUCUCCUGUGUGUGUCCUCCGAUGGUUAGCCAGGGUAUGUGAUUCAAAGAAACUCUUCCCACAAUCUGCGCAGCUGUAAGGCUUUCUCCCACAUGUUGUUUUCGCUUGUUGCUUUGCCAGGGAUCCCGGAUUGACAAAGCUCUCGCCACACUGACACAGACAUACGGUUUCUCUCCUGUGUGCGAACGACGGUGGCUGGCCAGUAGGCCUGACUGAGAAAAGCUCUUCCCACACUUCUCACAGCUGUAGGGUUUCUCCCAGUGUGUGUGUCGCUGGUGUCGGUUCAGAUUGAAGGCUACGUUAAAAGUCUUCCCACAUACAUCACAGCUAUGAGGUUUCUCUCCAGUGUGUGUUCUCAGAUGAGUUGCCAGGCUUCCUGACUGUGUGAAUGUCUUCCCACACGAUUACAACUGUAAGGCUUCUCUCCAGUGUGUGUUCGCUGAGUCACUUCCGACUGUCGAGGCUUUCCAGCUUCACGGCAGUCUGCAGCGUCCCCAUCACCAUCAGACUGGCUGGGACUCGAGGACACGCUGCUUGAUGCACUGGAGCUCACAGUUACAUGUCUACCAUCCUCCUGUAUACCUCUGAUGUCCUCUUUCAGUCGGAGUAACCAAGACUUGAAUAUCCUCGUUUUCCCAGAUUUCCUCCAUGAUUUGACGCCGCAGGUGCGUUCACUGUUUUCUUUACCUUGAACCGAUCCUCGGAGCCUAUUCCACAACGAACGCACAGGUAACAUAAGUUGUCCUUGGUUAGAGUGUAUAAACUCUGUUCCAGUCCACAACAGCUUGUCCCUCUUGUGACUCAUGUUGCCUGCUGUUGGGAAAACAACAAUGCAGUCAAUGGCAAGACAGCAGGAAGUCCAUACACUUUGGAUGACUGUAGAAGAAGAAGAGAGCAGGAAGUAAAUUAACUGAAAAAAAACAGCAGGAAGUCCAUACUUUAGAUGACCGUAGUAGAAGAGACAGCAGGAAGUCCAACACUAGAUGACCUGUAGUAGAAGAAGACAGCAGGAAGUCCAUACACUUAGAUGACCUGUAGUAGAAGAAGACAGCAGGAAGCCAUACACUUUAGAUGACCGGUAGUAGAAAAGAAGACAGCAGGAAGUCCAUACACUUUAGAUGACCUGUAGAAGAAGAAGACAGCAGGAAGUCCAUACACUUUAGAUGACCUGUAGUAGAAGAAGACAGCAGGAAGUCCUACACUUUAGAUGACCUGUAGUAGAAGAAGACAGCAGGAAGUCAUACACUUUAGAUGACCUGUAGUAGAAGGAUAGUGUCAAAUAUAUAUAUAUCCAAUACUUUGAUGUUUACUGAUCACAUGUUACCGAUUGAAUAUUUCCAUGGCAUUUCAACUUUCGAUGUGAAACCGACAGCUGUGUAAUCAAUUAAUGCUUUUUAUGUACUUGUAUGUUUAU